rnacentral:lncRNA from 1 species
GCACCAGCUGCCGCCUCCGGCCGUGGGCUGCGCGGGCGCCGGGUGCCCCGGCCCUUGGCGUGGCGCCCGGGUCUCGCCGGCCGCAGCCCAGGCUGGCGCGGCGCUCCGCUCGCACAAACUGACUCCGAGCGAGCGAGAGCCGAUGCCCGGCUGCAUCGACACGGCGGGCCUGCGGGCGUCCAGGGGCAGGGCGGGGGCGGUAGAGAGAAGGCGGCGUCGGAGACUCUGAACCCCGGAAAAGUUCAAGGUUUGUGCAGGUACCCCCGGGGAAGGCGAGGAGCGAGGCGGAGCAGCGCGCCCCUCUGCUGGGACAGCAAGACCUGGGAGGAGAGGGGGGCUGCCCAGAGCUGCUGCGGGCUGGCCGAGCCCCUCUCUAUCCUCCUGCGCUUACGGCCGGGAGGCUGGAGUCGGCGCCCCGGACAGGAAGGGCUCGGAUCAGGCGCAUUAGCCGGCUUUCCUGCUCCCUCGUUUCUCCAAGCCUCAUCUCCAUGGGGCAGCCCGUUCCGGCCGCGCGACCCUCACCCCAGCCGCGGAGCCUUUCCCCGGGCAGGCGGCGCUGAGCCGGCCUGUGAGGAGCCCGGGCCCUGGUCGAGGCUGGAGAGAGCGCGCUGGCCCAGCAGCGAGCUCAGCGAGGGGACAAGCCGCUGGCCAUCCGCCUCAGGCAUUCCCUCCCGGCGUCGCCUAGGAUGGUGGCAACCCGCGUCGGCGGUCUCAUCACUGCACGGAAACUUUUUCUUCUCUAGAUGGAUUAAAGUUGCCUGGAUUUUCUCUUUCUUUGCGAAAGAAAUCAUUUAUUUGCACCUAACCUGGGAUUUUUAUGCUGGAACUGCUGCAGAGCGCUUGGAGGAAGGAAGCCUCGCUAUCUAUGUGGGGUUACUACCGAAACCAGAGAAACUGGGGCUUGCGUUGGAAAUCUGCACCCUCGAGCGGAUUCGGAUUCGAGCGGGGCCGCGGAGCUGGGGGAUCUUGCACUCGACUCUAGGCAGACCCCGAGACGCUGGUGGCCACCGGCCCCGGGACCGCACGUGCGGCUCCCCCCUCGCCGCGCAGAUCCUGCAGGGGGCACCAGCCGGGGAAGGUGGAGGCUCCUUCCGCCCGGAGCUGCGCCCGCACCAGCUCCGCGGGUGUAGCCGGCGCCGCCUGGGACGCCCCCUCCCCUCAAAGUGUCCCCGAAUUGCACUCCUUGGUCCCCAGAGCCUCCGCAGAGACAGCCUGGCGCCACGGCCACCCUGA